ACAGUGGCCCGUUGGAUUGGUCACUGAAGUGUUCCCUGGCCGGGAUGGCAGAGUAGGAUUGGUUGAUGUUUGUGUCCGUGGCACGCUGUACCGACGACCAGUGGCAAAGCUUGUCAAGUUGCCGGAAGAGAAGGAUGAACCAGUGAUCACUGAAUAAAACGUGCCCGCUAAUGUUACUUCUAGCGGCUAUUGAACUGAUAAUGUUAUGUUUAUAGGAUUAUUGUUGAAUAUUGUUAAUCUGUGUUAACUUCAUAAUUAUAAUAUGCAAACUUACAUGUAAAUUUGGGGGCGGCUGUAGAUCGAAGUAGUAGAUCGCCUAGUAACCAGAUCACGAUGCGUAAAUUGAAAAUAAAACCAUUGUGAGAUGGGUGAAACUGAACAUAAAACCGACUAUGUUUCAUCAGAUAAAUGUUGCUGAAAGAAGUGGAGUUCUUGCUAAAGAAUCUUUCAGGAAUGGUUGCAGAACCGGUACCAAACUGUACAUCUUGUUGACUUUCAUGGACAUUUAAAUAUACAAAAUGAUGGCAAAUGUAGAAAUAUCUGUUGAGAAUGAGUGUUGAGAAGUUAAGGUUAACAUUAUGAAUUUAUACUAUGAAUUAAAAUGGUUUAGUAAUGGCACAUUAGACCUGUUGCUGCCAAGUCUCACCAGUGAAUUUUUUAUCAUUCAUUUGUUCAUUAAAUAAGGUUAUCCUAAAGAGUUCAAACAGGUAGCAAGAGACUUGUGUCAACAUCGCUACUCUCUGACUUACUUAUUAAACUCACUUG